UCCUCCAUUUUUACAGGUAAUUGCCAAUAUACAUUUGAUAAGCCUAAAGAAGUUGAGGGCUCAAUUAACCUAACAUGGAGCACUUCAUCACGUAGAACUUGUGGAAGAAGAGUGUAGCUGGCAUAUCACCUGCCUGUGAAAUAUUGCAAUGGAACAGGGAGGAUCUGGGUACGUUAAGGAUUAACAUUAUAUCUCUUCACUGGCCAAUGAUGACAUGGAUAAAAGCAGCAGCUGGCCAAUGUUGUGCAGAAAUAAUUACCACGAGGUGACAUUGUAGUCUGGACAAAGAGAAGAAGCUUAUAUGGAAUAAAAGAAGAAGAAAAAAAAGAAGUUGCUACCAGUCUCACCUCCUCUAAGUGUUUAGACAUAAACUCUGCACAUUGAUCCUCUAGUCUGGGAAGCUUAAAGAG